rnacentral:rRNA from 1 species
UGUAUCCCAAAAGAACAAGGAGGAAUGGGAUUUCGAGAUAUACAUUGUUUUAAUUUGGCUUUGCAAGCCAAGAAAGCAUGGUUUUUUCUUGAUAACCCGAAAUCAUUGUGUGCCACAAUCUUCAGGGCUGAAUAUUUCUCGGAUGGCGAUUUAAUGUAUGCAAAUCUAAAGAAGGGUUCCUCUUUUACCUGGCAAAGCAUUGUGGUGGGGGUUAAUUCUCUAAGGAAUGCCUAUAUCUGGUGAGUUGAAAACGGACAAAAAAUUGAUAUUUGGGAAUAUGCGUGGAUCCUGAAUUGUGCAAAUAGGAAAAUAAUUACUCCUAUAAGGGGGCAACUUUUGUCAAAGGUCUCUGAUCUUAUUGAUCCUAUCACGGAUUAUUGGGAUGAAGACUUGGUGAGGCAAACGUUGUGGCGAAUUGAUGCUCAAAGGGUGCUUGCGAUUCCCCUUCCAAUGCAUGAAAUGUUGGAUAUCAUCGCUUGGAGUUUCACAAAAAAUGGGUUGGUUACUGUUCGAUCGGCUUAUUGGGAGGAAUGGAACAAACAACAUGGAAGAAAAUUACAACAUACGAAUGGUAUGGGUAGAUCCAAUGUUAAUCCUGUUUGGAGCAAGAUCUCGAAGCUAUUUUGUCCAACGAAGGUAAAAAUCUUCAUCUGGCGUACAUUGCAUCGAACACUCCCAUGUCGUGUUACGCUCGCUAUUAGACAUAUGAAGGUCUCUCCCAUCUGCCCAACAUGUUUAUAUGGGCUAGAAGACACGAAACACGUCUUAUUUAUGUGUCAGAAGGAAAAAGAGGGCUGGGAUAAGUUAGGAUUGUAUGAGGUGAUCAAUAGAGCUUGUUUUGUUGAUCGGGUGGGAGAGGCAGUUCUUGAAUUUUUAAUACUUAUGCCAGAGGAAGAAAUAUUUGUUUUGGGACUUCGAAUACACAUGAAUUGA